AGCUCAGUAGGGGAGAGAGGACACAGAUCACAGAUGCUGUCUACCAGGAGGUCACAAAGUAUACAUAUUACCCAAAAGAGUGGCAGUACACCGAGGUGGUCACAGCCUUCAUGGAGAAGUUUCCCAAGGUGAAAUCCAAUGAAAAUUUGUCAAUGAGUCUGUGGCGUCAACGGAUUCAAUAUAGGUUUCAAAAUGACCGAAGGCGUAGAGAUUGUGUGCC